UGUUGGAUAGAGCUCCAAAUUUCGCAAACCAUGAUUUGAGGAUUCUCUUGGGAAAACUUGCAACUAAGUUGUACACUUUAAAUUCUUAUCAUCCUCAAAAGCAUGGUCAAAAUACAUUUGAAAAUCUAGCUCUUUCUACUAUGCCUAGAAUAAUCAUAAAGGACAAACACAACUCUAGAGAUGAGCAUACAUACCAUAGCGUAGUUCACAAAACUACCAAUAUUUUCCCAUUUGAAGUUGUAUAUAGACUUAAU
rnacentral:lncRNA from 1 species